AUGCGCUGCAUUAGUUGGUCCCUCCCUCCAUAUCUUCAUUCAAUUUCAACCCCCUGUACUUUUGAACCGGAGGAUAUCCAUGAUCAAUUCAAAGCCCAGCUGUUCUCCUCAAUCUUUGACACGGCCACACGGGAGGCCCGCUGGCCCCUCUGUCUCUCUCCCUGUCUCCAGCUCCAGUUAAUGGCGUGCGUCGGUGCGUCUCAGCGUCCAAACUCUGUCUCAGACUUUUCAUGUCAGCAUUCAAUUGCUAGAGCACCAACUGGUGGCACUCAUGCAUUCAGUGACGUCUACUUCAGUUCUUCAUUAUUGAUGCAGAUAACAUUAUUGUUCACAACUUCAGAUAUGUCACAACCGGACUUUUAUGUGCCGACAAUCAUGUGA
rnacentral:rRNA from 1 species